AGGUGUCUGUCCAGUGUGUGGACAACCCUAUGGCUUAUGAUGUGAUGGUGUAUGAGGACAAGAGCUUCUACCACACUCCUGUACCUCAGGUGUCUGUCCAGUGUGUGGACAACCCAGUGGGUAAAGGUGUGAAGGUGUAUGAGGAGAAGAGCUUCUACCACACUCCUGUACCUCAGUGAUGCCAGCUGUUGUCUCUACCAUAUGAAGAUGCCAAUGAUCACGAAGCACAACUGUUCUUUGCUAUGCACUGUAGGUGGUGAAAGGAAUCGGCUUAUAGUAUGCUGUUAUGUUUGAAGAUUCUCAUUCAUCCAUUUCAUGUUUAUAGAUUGUUAUGCUGCCCGUCUGUGCAUGCAUGUGUUUGUGCGUGUUUGCGUGUGUGCGUACACACAAUUACACACAAUCAUUGCCGUACUCAAAGACUGAACUGAUGGGGUCUACUCUAUUUGUACUAUUCACUGUGGAAUUUCUUGACUUUGUACAUUCCUGCAAAUAUGUAAUAUGCAAUAUGAACUUUGUAUAUAUAACUACUGUAUAUACUUUUCUAAAAAAGUAUUUUUUUGUGUGCUGCGUGAUCAUGAAAAAUGCACUAUGCAAAGUGAGUAUUUAAUUUUGGAUAUCGAGCAAAUAGACACUGGAGUGGUUGGAUUGGAAUAUUUUAGUUCUGUACGGCCAAAGCGAAGAUGAAUACACACAAGUGUUGUUCCGUGCACUCAUACAGACUGGAUCUUUUAUAUGUAUGCUGUGCAGGAAUACACUUAAAAGUGGAUAGAAAUAACUAAGGAACAGAAAUGAAUGUGUAUUAUGUAGUAUGAAAACAGUUUGUCACAGUGCCUUGUACUAAGAAACCAAAUGUACAACAGUCAAUGAUAUUGAGCACUUUCCAAUGCAUCUUAAGUGCCUUACCAGGGAGCCACCAGUGCCUUGUAGGGAAGCCAGAAUGUUAAUCAGGUGAUGCUUAUGGGACCAAAUUGAAUGAGCCGGUCUGGAAAGCAAACUGGAACAUAAGGGAAACCCCUAGUCUUUGAUUAAAGUGCACGUUGUAAUAUGUUAGUAUGUGCGUAUUACACAUGUGUGUGUUUUUUAUUGCUCACUUAGCAGGAUGUUUAGGAACAGAAUUUUUUUUCUUUUAAGGGGAAUGAAGGGAUGUCAAUAAAAACUUCAUUUCAUUUCAACAGUCUUGUACUAUUUGACAUGUAGGUGUCAUAUUUUUUUUAUUAUUUGUAUGUGCCUUUCUGUUGUAAGCCAUGUGAACGAGUUGCUGAUCAUUACUCCAAUUGUGCAAUGAAGUCUUGCCUCUGCCAACAAAGUGCUAAUUUGUCAAAAGUCUGUAAAACAUACUUUAAUAAUAAACUAU